rnacentral:lncRNA from 1 species
AACAGAGAAAAUAAGGGCAAAGAUAUAAGUAUUUGUUAUGAAAACUAGCUAGAUAUUGAAAAAGUUGAUUAAAUAUUAAAAAGUAUACCAGAAGAAGCUAGGUGAUUUACAACAAUGGUGGCUUUGGAGUCGGAUAGUCUUGAACUUUUUGACCCAUUUGCCAAAUGGAUAAAAUUAUUCCACGGAGAAAGUGGGAGAUCAAACGUUCA